rnacentral:rRNA from 1 species
UACGUAGGUGGCAAGCGUUUGUCCGGAAUUAUUGGGCGUAAAGCGCGCGCAGGCGGCCUUUUAAGUCUGAUGUGAAGCCCACGGCUCAACCGUGGAAGGUCAUUGGAAACUGAAAGGCUUGAGUACAGAAGAGGAAAGCGGAAUUCCACGUGUAGCGGUGAAAUGCGUAGAGAUGUGGAGGAACACCAGUGGCGAAGGCGGCUUUCUGGUCUGUAACUGACGCUGAGGCGCGAAAGCGUGGGGAGCAAACAGG